rnacentral:rRNA from 1 species
AAUCUUCCGCAAUGGACGAAGGUCUGACGGCGCAACGCCGCGUGAGGGAUGAAGGUUUUCGGAUCGUAAAGCUCUCUUGUUCGGGAAGAACAAGUAUCGGAGUCACGUCCGGUACCUUGACGGUACCUGACGCGAAAGCCACGGCUAACCACGGGCCAGCAGCCGCGGUAAUACGUAGGUGGCAAGCGUUGUCCGGAUUUAUUGGGCGUAAAGCGCGCGCAGGCGGUGUUUUAAGUCUGAUGUGAAAUCUUACAGCUUAACUGUAAGCGGACAUUGGAAACAGGGAGACUUGAGUGCAGAAGAGGAGAGUGGAAUUCCAUGUGUAGCGGUGAAAUGCGUAGAGAUAUGGAGGAACACCAGUGGCGAAGGCGACUCUCUGGUCUGUAAAUGACGCUGAGGCGCGAAAGCGUGGGGAUCAAACA